ensembl:lncRNA
CCUUAACGUAUUUAUUUUGUGCAAUACAUUUUUUUCCUUGUUUCAAUGUAUUUUUAUUUGAAUUUUUAGGUUCAUAUCAUUUGAAUCUUACUUAAUUUUGUCCUUUUUUUACGUGAACAGCAGCAUGAUUGUGUACAAACGAAUUAAGCAGUCAAUUAUCCAGUUCCUCCAUCAUCCUCCUCAUGUGUGUGUGUCUGUGUGUGUGUGUGUGUGCGUGUGUGUGUGUGUGUGUGUGUGUGUGUGUGCGUGUGUGUGUGUGUGUGUGUGUGUGUGUGUGUGUGUGUGUCUGUGUGUGUGGAGCAGAGAUGUGUCCUCGUGGAGAUGAAAGGAUGCAGACCGGCCUCAGGCUCCAAUUAAACCAGGCUGAGGUUGCUAUGGCGAUACAGGUGAACCAAAGUACUAAUAUGAGAUAUUCCUGACGGGGGGACGGGGGGACGGGGGGACAAAGGACGUGCUGUUCUGUGGACGCUGGGGGUUAAUGUUUAAACUUUAACCUUUAAAGCUUUUGUUCCUACUUUGUAAAUGUCGGUAGCUUUGGUUAUUUAGUUAUUAGGUUAAUUUACAGUUUUCACCAACUGCUUACACACGUUUUCAAAACUAAGUCUCCUGUUUUCAAAACUCUACACACAAUUCUUAAAACUGCACACACAAAAUAAAAUGCCUCACACCUCCUUCAAAAUGCAACACUACAUUCAAAAUGCCAUAAACACGUGUCAGAAUGAAGCAUUUGCAUCAAAUAGCAAACACUUCUUUCAUAAUAGUAAAUGUUGGGAUGUACCAUGUAAACACUGCUGAUCUAAAUCUAAAGCUCUGGUCUUUCAUAGGCUUAUAUCUACAUUUCAAUACAGCGUUCUACAGUGAAAGUGACGUGCUGAGAGGGGUAACAAGUACACCGGAAACCCCAAUGCGAUGUAGAAACAGAAAGUAAUUCUUAGGCCAAACAUUACUGUUGUAUACAUUAGCAUACAACAAAACUAUAAAGUAUAUUCUUUACAGUAGAAUACAGUAAAUUGUGUGUGGGGUCCCGGUCCAGGAAUUGGCAGGGGGGCAGAGGGGGGGUAUUUAGUAGAACGCUGGCUGUCUUCAUACUUCACGUUUCAGUGUUUUGUUGUUCCGUCUCUCGGGUUCCUCUGUGAGACGUUUCUUCUUCUUCUUUUUUAUAUUUGACGCUUCUGCUUUCACUUCCUCAUUCGGCUCAAACACAAAGGAUUCGUCCUGAUGUAAAAGUGAGGAAAGUCUGAAAAGAGAAUUAGCUAAACUAAACAAAUAAAAAGAGAUUUGGGAACUUUUCAACUAUUUCUCGCUUUCUUUUUGUUUAUUUCAGUCAUUGUAUAGUUUCAGGACAUCAAGACGUCCUUUUGAUCAUCCUGUACAGUGUGUGUAACAUCGUCCUGUACAGUGUGUGUAACAUCAUCCUGUACAGUGUGUGUAACAUCAUCCUGUACAGUGUGUGUAACAUCGUUCUGUACAGUGUGUGUAACAUCAUCCUGUACAGUGUGUGUAACAUCGUCCUGUAUAGUGUGUGUAACAUCGUCCUGUACAGUGUGUGUAACAUCGUCCUGUACAGUGUGUGUAACAUCAUCCUGUACAGUGUGUGUAACAUCGUUCUGUACAGUGUGUGUAACAUCGUCCUGUAUAGUGUGUGUAACAUCAUCCUGUAUAUUGCGUAUUUCUUUAAGAGAGACAGUAACAGUGCGUUAAAGUUGACGUUACGUUAAACCGCUCGGUGCUCAGAGCAGAUAACUGAGACGAUAUUGAUCUUUUUAUCAAAGGCAGAUGUUGUUGUUGUUGUUGUUGAUGCAGCUGUGAGUGAAGGAGCUGCUGGUCACUCGUCACAGGAAAUACACGCAGUGAGAAGUGAUUCAUUACACACCGUUGUUUCAAUUGUGAGGCUGUUUCCUUCUCUGGAAACACACACACACACAGACACACACACACACACACACACAGACACACACACACACACACAGACACACACACGUUUGAUCACAUGAGCAGGUUGUUGACGUUCUUUCUACAGUCACGUGAUGACUUUGCUCAGGAGGCCGCUGAUCACUGUGCAAACUCAUGCCUCCUCUCCACCCUCCCUGCCUCCCCCCUCUCCUCCCUCCUCUCUCACCUCUUCGACUGUCACCUCCCUCUACUCGCUCUCCUCUUUUCCCAUCAGUGUGUCUCACCCUUCUGUCUCCUCUCUUUAAUGCAAACUCACGCCUCCUCCCUCCCCCCUCUCUCCUCUGUCACCUCUCUCCUCCCUACCUCCCUCUCUCCUCUGUCACCUCCCUGCCUCUCUCCUCUGUCUCCUCCCUCCUCCCUCUCUCCUCUGUCACCUCUCUCCUCCCUACCUCCCUCUCUCCUCCCUCUCUCCUCUGUCACCUCUCUCCUCCCUCCCUCCCUCUCUGUGUGUGUGUGUGUAGCUGUUUGUGUAAGUAUCAUUAUCAUCACCUCAGUACAUGGGUUUUCAAAAUAAAACUUCUGUAAGUAACAUUCAUGCCACAUGGCCAUUCAGAGAGCGUUGUUACAGGGGCUUUUAUUUUGACGGGGCCCUGCGUACUGGAUCUCAGCCCACUUCUAUGACUGUUUUCACCAGGAAAAAGGAGCUGGAUGAAUCGUCUGUUGGGCGUCAGAGGCUGAUGAAAGCGAACGAUGACAUCAACCUUCCCGGCUUUCGGGAUCUUUUUUGUGUCUCAGAGUCUUCACUCUGUGGCUCCCAGCAUGGCGGCGUCCUCCCGGCCUGCUUUGCAUGAGGCCGCGGGGAUCUGGAUCAGAGAGGGCGGGAGUUAUGAGACGGGCGACCCGGGGGGGGAGAGAACCUUCUCACGUCAUCGGCCUGUGAGUUACACUCCGUUACAGCCCUCCCUCAGUCCGCUGCCUGCUGCUCUCUGUCUGGCUGGGGCCAGUCGCCCGAAGCACCGGGGCAAUUGUUUUUUUUUGGGGGGGGGGGUUCAGAAAUGAGCCUCGACAACGUGGAAGCAGCAGAUCUGCAGUCAGGUGCUAAAAGAUUCUUCGUGCCGUUUCAACAAGUCUUCACUAACAGAGAUGGAAAGUCUGCUGUGAACCUUUUUUUCCUGGGGCAAGAAUCAGAGACACAGAUGUAAUAUUAAGUAGAAUUAAAUAUCCCAAAAGGCCCCUUAACGUGUCAGCCAACACUGGACUCUGACCUCUGACCUCUGGUUACAGAUUGCUCUGACCUGUGGGGGGCGGGGGGUUAACAUUUGAGGUCACAGGAUUACAGCAGCAGAGGUCAAAAUGCAAACAGAAGCAAGA